rnacentral:rRNA from 1 species
GUCAAGUACAAAGAGCAUCGGGUGGAUGCCUUGGCACUGGGAGCCGAUGAAGGACGUGAUAAGCUGCGAUAAGCUGCGGUAAGGAGCACAUAUCCGAUAUACCCGCAGAUUUCCGAAUGGGGGAACCCACAUACGGUAAUGCGUAUGUAUCAUUAAGUGAAUACAUAGCUUAAUGAGGGGAACGGGGUGAACUGAAACAUCUAAGUAGCCCUAGGAAGAGAAAGAAAAAUCGAUUUCCUGAGUAGCGGCGAGCGAAAGGGAAAGAGGCCAAACCAAAUUGUUUACAGUUUGGGGUUGUGGACCACCAACAUUGACGAAGUUAUGCGAGCCGAAUAGGGUUGGAAAGCUCAAGCAGAGAAGGUAAUACUCCUGUAGGCGAAGCAGAAAGCGCAUAGGUGGCACCAGAGUAGGACCGGACACGUGUAACCCGGUCUGAAGCAGGAGGGACCACCCUCCAAGCCUAAAUACUACCCAGUGACCGAUAGCGAAUAGUACCGUGAGGGAAAGGUGAAAAGAACCCCGGGAGGGGAGUGAAAUAGAAUCUGAAACCUGAUGCUUACAAGCAUAGGGAGCGCAAGUGACCUAGUACUUUUUGUAGAACGGGCCAACGAGUUAUGGUAUGUAGCGAGGUUAAGUUGCUGGAGCAACGGAGCCGUAGAGAAAUCGAGUCUGAAUAGGGCGAGAGUUACAUGCUGUAGACCCGAAACCGGGUGACCUAUCCAUGAGCAGGUUGAAGUAACCGUAAAAGGUUAUGGAGGACCGAACCUAUAUCUGUUGAAAAAGGUUAGGAUGACUUGUGGAUAGCGGUGAAAUUCCAAUCGAACUCGGAUAUAGCUGGUUCUCCUCGAAAUAGCUUUAGGGCUAGCCUCGUAGUAAGAUACCUGGGGGUAGAGCACUGAAUGUUCUAGGGGCCUUCACCGGUUACCGAAAACUAUCAAACUCCGAAUACCAGAGUAUCAUCUACGGGAGUCAGACUAUGUGAGAUAAGUUUCAUAGUCGAAAGGGAAACAGCCCAGACCGUCAGCUAAGGUCCCAAAAUAUAGGUUAAGUGGAAAAGGAUGUGGGGUUGCACAGACAGCUAGGAUGUUGGCUUAGAAGCAGCCAUUCAUUCAAAGAGUGCGUAAUAGCUCACUAGUCGAGUGACCCUGCGCCGAAGAUAAACGGGGCUAAAACCUAUUACCGAAGCUACGGAUACUUAAUGUAUGGUAGAGGAGCGUCGUAUACGGGUUGAAGCAGUACUGUAAGGUAUUGUGGACUUUAUACGAGAGAGAAUGUUGGCAUGAGUAGCGCGAGGCAGGUGAGAAUCCUGCCCACCGAAAAUCUAAGGUUUCCUGAGGAAGGUUCGUCCACUCAGGGUUAGUCGGGGCCUAAGCCGAGGGCGAAAGCCAUAGGCGAUGGAUAACAGGUAGAAAUUCCUGUACCACCGAAGGUUGUUUGAAUGAUGUGGGGACACAGGAGGAUAAGCUGAGCACGCCGUUGGUAGAGCGUGUCCAAGCGUCAAGGGAGUAUGAAUAGGCAAAUCCGUUCAUAUAUAUUCUGAGGCGUGAUGGGGUGGUCAAUAGACCGGAAGCAGCUGAUUUCACACUGUCAAGAAAAGCCGCUAAUUAGACCUAAGGUGCCCGUACCGCAAACCGACACAGGUAGAUGAGGAGAGAAUCCUAAGGUGAGCGAGAGAACUAUUGUUAAGGAACUCGGCAAAAUAACCCCGUAACUUCGGGAGAAGGGGUGCCUGCUUCGGCAGGCCGCAGUGAAAAGGCCCAGGCAACUGUUUACCAAAAACACAGGUCUCUGCAAAAGCGAAAGCUGAAGUAUAGGGGCUGACGCCUGCCCGGUGCUGGAAGGUUAAGGGGACGUGUCAUCGCAAGAGAAGCACUGAACUUAAGCCCCAGUAAACGGCGGCCGUAACUAUAACGGUCCUAAGGUAGCGAAAUUCCUUGUCGGGUAAGUUCCGACCCGCACGAAAGGCGUAAUGAUUUGAGCGCUGUCUCAACAAUGCACCCGGUGAAAUUGAAGUACCAGUGAAGAUGCUGGUUACCCGCGCCAGGACGGAAAGACCCCAUGGAGCUUUACUCCA